GUAAAGAUUAACUUCUACAGCUGAAUCUACAGUGGGAAUUUCAGGAAUCCUUCCACAUAUCUGAAGGCAUAAUUCACCCAUGACAUAAACAGGCCUGGUAGAAAAAUGUCAGCCUUUCAGUCUUUUAAAUGAUGGAGUUAAGCAAAACACACUAGAAGAUGAACGUGCAGCCUGAGCCUGCUCUCUAGGUUGAAGCAUGUUCUUCAUAUUCAUAUUAAUGAGCUGCUUCUCAUGAAGCAACCCAUUAAACGUAAUAGGGGAGCUAUCGGGUCAUGUGGACUUCGUUUAAUGUGGAAGAUGAUAAACAUAUUCUAGAGGAUCUUCUACUAACGAUGUCUGAGUCAUUGCAUCAAUGUGUUGAAUUUUCUUUUCUGAUGGCACACUGACAUGAAAGAGAAAACUUAUCUGUCUACAAC